rnacentral:rRNA from 1 species
UACGGAGGGUGCGAGCGUUGUCCGGAAUCACUGGGCGUAAAGGGCGCGUAAGCGGCCUGAUAAGUAGGGGGUGAAAUCCUGCGGCUUAACCGCAGGGCUGCCUUCUAAACUGUCAGGCUAGAGCACAGUAGAGGCAGGUGGAAUUCCCGGUGUAGCGGUGGAAUGCGUAGAGAUCGGGAAGAACAUCAGUGGCGAAGGCGGCCUGCUGGGCUGUUGCUGACGCUGAGGCGCGACAGCGUGGGGAGCAAACAGG